rnacentral:snRNA from 1 species
GUGCUCGCUUCGGCAGCACAUAUACUAAAAAUUGGAACGAUACAGAGAAGUUUAGCACGGCACCUGCGCAAGGAUGACACGCAAAUUCGUGAAGCAUUCCAUAUUUUU